rnacentral:lncRNA from 1 species
AAAAGAAUAAAUUUGUGAUAUAGUAAUACACACGUUUCUUUUUUUAAGCUAUUAAAUGACAAGAUCUAGCUGUGGGCCUAAGAACUAUAGUAAUUUCAAAGUAGCAAUGAGUACAAAUGAUAUUUUGAGAUACAGGACCUUAAUGUGACCUGAUAUGAAAAUAUUUGAUGUUUCUAUUGAUGACAAAGUCAUAGGUACUUAUACCGUGACUAUGACUUGUUGCCUAUUUUCUUUUUAAAAUUUCUAUUUAUGUAUCUAUGUAUCUAUGUAUCUAUGUAUCUAUGUAUCUAUCUAUCUUUUUUUAAAGCCUACAGCACCCAAUAUUCCCGGGCUGGCUCUCAUCCAAAUACUAACUGGGACUGACCCUUUUUAGCUUUUGAAAUCAGACGAGAUUGGGUGGAUUCAGGGUGGUAAGGAUGUAGAUGUCUAUUUUCACAAUGGAGAGAAAUGCCACAUUUUAAUUACAAGCUAAUGAAAUUAAGGUGUAAUUUUUUUUUUAUUUCUCAGUCUCAGAACCUGUGAUUUCUAUCCAUGGCUGUGGGCCCCAAAUUAAGAUCAACAGAGGUGAAGAAUGCCCCCAUGUUAAUGAAUUAUUAUGGCAAGAGGAUUAUAGAUACCAUAUGACUCUCUAGCCUCAGAGAUCCUGAAGCAGAGUCUAUGGAUCUCUCAGCCCUCAAAGACACUGUCUUGAAUUCUCCUGAUGUAGUAUAAAUGGAACAAAAAGAUGUUUUCUACUGCGAGGCACAGCGAAUGCUUAAACAAUGCCAUGGACCCCCUCCCACUUCAGGAACACAUUGUAGCGGAGUCUCCAAGGCAACAGUGUAGUCUUGUAGUCUUUAGAGGAAGAAGAAGCGAACUGCCAUGGUACUGUAGCUGCAACAUCAACUCCUGCCUGGGUCUUUAGCCUGCUGGCCUACCCUGCAGAUUUUGGACUUGCCAGCCUCCA